UACGGAGGGUGCAAGCGUUAUCCGGAUUCACUGGGUUUAAAGGGUGCGUAGGUGGAUUAGUAAGUCAGUGGUGAAAUCUCCGGGCUUAACCCGGAAACUGCCAUUGAUACUAUUAGUCUUGAAUACCGUGGAGGUCAGCGGAAUAUGUCAUGUAGCGGUGAAAUGCUUAGAUAUGACAUAGAACACCAAUUGCGAAGGCAGCUGGCUACACGAGCAUUGACACUCAGGCACGAAGGCGUGGGGAUCAAACAGG
rnacentral:rRNA from 1 species